GGGCCUCAUCCAAUCAGUUCAAGAUCUGAAGAGAACAAAAGGAUACAGCAAGAGAGAAUUUGUGUUUGACUGCCAUCAAACUGGGACAUAGGUUUUUUUUUCCUUCAUGUUUAAAUUGCAGUUUCAGCAAUUCCUGGGUCUUGAGUCUACAGGCUAUCUGACUCUAUCAGCGUUGCUGUUUCUCCUGGGUCUCCACAUUUCUGCUGCCCAUCUUGGGACUUACCAGCCUCUGCAAUUAACCUACAUGCUGUCUCAAGCCCAGCUGGAGAAUCUCUUCCUUCAGUCUGCAAAGACAGAGCGCUGUAUAAGGACUUCCAAUGCUAAGUUAAUUGGAGUGGCAAAAGUGGACAACCAUGUCUUAUUCCAUAUCUUAAAGUAAGUCCUUUUCAUUUUUCUCCACUAAGUAUAAUGUUAGCUGUGGAUUUGUUGUAUAUGGUCUUUACUGAGUUGUGGAAUGUUUCUUCUACACCCAGUUUUUAAGAGCUUUUAUUAUGAAAGAUGAAUUUUUUCAAAUGCUUUUACUGAAUCUAUUUAUAUAAUCAUGGGAUUUUUAAUUAUCAUUUUAAUGAUGAAGUGAAUUACAUAUAUUGAUUUAAAAGAUAGAAUACCUACUUUUUGAUACACAGCUACAGCCCACCUAUCUUAAGAAUGUCAGUAAUGUAUUGUCGUAAGGACCUGGUUGGUGUUUCAAGGAAAUAUCUAGAUUUAAAUCUGUUUUCACUUUUUAACUAAUGGUGCUAAAAUACAUAGCAGAAAUGAGAAAGCAGGAUAGAAACGCCGAUAUUA